rnacentral:ncRNA from 1 species
GGUAAACUGCCACCGGGUAGAAAAUGCAAAAGCAUUCGUCUGCACAUCGUUAGGUCUUAGAAGAUGUGCAAACGGAUGCUUUUUUUAU